rnacentral:tRNA from 5 species
UGCCCGGUGGUGUAAUGGUAGCACAGAGGUCUUUGGAGCCUUUAGUCAUGGUUCGAGUCCAUGCCGGGCAGCCA